UGUAAAAUAAGCUAAAUUGUAAGCUUUUGGGUUCAUACCCCAAAUAUGAAUGAUCUAUUCUUUUACAA
rnacentral:tRNA from 1 species